UACGAAGGGGGCGAGCGUUGUUCGGAUUUACUGGGCGUAAAGGGCGCGUAGGCGGCCCUCCUUGUCGCGUGUGAAAGCCCCGGGCUCAACCUGGGAAUUGCGCGCGAAACGGGAGGGCUUGAGUUCGGGAGAGGAGCGUGGAAUUCCCAGUGUAGAGGUGAAAUUCGUAGAUAUUGGGAAGAACACCGGUGGCGAAGGCGGCGCUCUGGACCGAGACUGACGCUGAGGCGCGAAAAGCGUGGGGAGCAAACAGG
rnacentral:rRNA from 1 species